rnacentral:rRNA from 1 species
ACGGAAUAGAUACCCAGGUAGUCCCAGCCGUAAACGAUGCUCGCUAGGUGUCAGGCAUGGCGCGACCGUGUCUGGUGCCGCAGGGAAGCCGUGAAGCGAGCCACCUGGGAAGUACGGCCGCAAGGCUGAAACUUAAAGGAAUUGGCGGGGGAGCACAACAACGGGUGGAGCCUGCGGUUUAAUUGGACUCAACGCCGGACAACUCACCGGGGGCGACAGCAAUAUGUAGGCCAGGCUGAAGACCUUGCCUGAAUCGCUGAGAGGAGGUGCAUGGCCGUCGCCAGUUCGUACUGUGAAGCAUCCUGUUAAGUCAGGCAACGAGCGAGACCCGUGCCCACUGUUACCAGCAUGUCCUCCGGGACGAUGGGUACUCUGUGGGGACCGCCGAUGUUAAAUCGGAGGAAGGUGCGGGCCACGGUAGGUCAGUAUGCCCCGAAUCUCCCGGGCUACACGCGGGCUACAAUGGAUGGGACAAUGGGUCCCU